AAGGAUCCCAACUGACAAAGAAAACCAUGGGGUCUGAGAAGCAAAGCUGAGAUGGAGAGCAGCAUGUUCCAGCGUCAAUCAAGAUAUUGUCUGGCAUCGUGUUGAGAACACUCCAAUCUACAGAAUUCUGAUAAAUUGUGCACAAUCUUGGAUUCGGAUUGUGCAUUGAAAUGAAAGAGGCACCGCACGACAUUGACACCGAAAGGCACCCUGUGCCAGAGUUACCCUGCCAAGAAAAACAACAGAGCAUGGCUUACUCAGGGCCAUCUGGAGGGUUUGUGUGAAGGGUCGUUGCACCGCCUCGGCCUCCGCAGCCUGGUGCUUUCGAAAUGGAUGACGCUACGAGAGCGGUGUUAUGCCAAGUAAAGUCAUUACUAUUGACAAAAGCGCUUUGGUUUUUCAGCAGAGCCGCUUGGUUCCUUCGCAGAACAAACUAGAUUAUGCCAAAUUUCUGUUUUUGUGUGCGGUUGAGGUCAUCGUUUCUGGUUCAAAAGAUCUGUUGAAACAUUUGGCGACAUAAAGGCUUCGGUGCACUGGCGACACUAGCUUCCUCCAUGUUCCUUGUUUCUGCAUUGCCUUCUGCCACAAAUACUUCUUACAUGUCCUACAUAAUCCAUGAGGACAAAGGGAACGGGGGACCGUCUUGCAACAGCCUUUCUCUGUGGUGAACCAUAGCAGGAAUCAUCUCUCCAUCCCAGCAGAGCAGAGCUCAAGUUUGUUAGCAUGCAAAUGAAACUUGCCACCCAGCACAGACGUGCAAGCCUGGCGUGUAAACACAAUUUCAUCAGUGUCAAUUGGAGGCAAUUUCGUGACUGAUUUGUUCCUUAGCAUAAGGAGGUACUGAACUGGGUUUGCGCUUUUCAAAAAAAAAAAUCAACAGAGUAUAGAUGCACAUCGCCGACUGAAACAGUGGCUCAGCGAAGUGGUACAUCAACCCUUCCUUCUCAAUAAGUCAUCAUCAUCUGAACUGCGAAGGGUUGCUUGGUAUUCUUGCAUACCUCGUUCAAAACUGUCCUUCCCUUUCAAACUGGAGGAGGAGACAUGAAACCUUAGCAUUCCUUGGUUUGUGCUCAUCCGAAUGUGUAGGAGGGCGAGGAAGGGAAGUGAGACCAGAACAUGCAUAUUUCUUAUUAAUGAAU